rnacentral:rRNA from 1 species
AUGAACGCUGGCGGCGUGCCUAAUACAUGCAAGUCGAGCGAACAGACGAGGAGCUUGCUCCUCUGACGUUAGCGGCGGACGGGUGAGUAACACGUGGAUAACCUACCUAUAAGACUGGGAUAACUUCGGGAAACCGGAGCUAAUACCGGAUAAUAUAUUGAACCGCUUGGUUCAAUAGUGAAAGACGGUUUUGCUGUCACUUAUAGAUGGAUCCGCGCCGCAUUAGCUAGUUGGUAAGGUAACGGCUUACCAAGGCAACGAUGCGUAGCCGACCUGAGAGGGUGAUCGGCCACACUGGAACUGAGACACGGUCCAGACUCCUACGGGAGGCAGCAGUAGGGAAUCGUCCGCAAUGGGCGAAAGCCUGACGGAGCAACGCCGCGUGAGUGAUGAAGGUCUUCGGAUCGUAAAACUCUGUUAUUAGGGAAGAACAAAUGUGUAAGUAACUAUGCACGUCUUGACGGUACCUAAUCAGAAAGCCACGGCUAACUACGUG